UACAGAGGUCUCAAGCGUUGUUCGGAUUCAUUGGGCGUAAAGGGUGCGUAGGCGGCGCGGUAAGUCGGGUGUGAAAUCUCGGAGCUUAACUCCAAACUGCAUUCGAUACUGCCGUGCUUGAGGACUGGAGAGGAGACUGGAAUUUACGGUGUAGCGGUGAAAUGCGUAGAUAUCGUAAGGAAGACCAGUGGCGAAGGCGGGUCUCUGGACAGUUCCUGACGCUGAGGCACGAAGGCCAGGGGAGCAAACGGG
rnacentral:rRNA from 1 species